GUGAGGAAUAUUGCGCAAUGGAGGCAACUCUGACGCAGCCAUGCCGCGUGCAGGAAGAAGGCGCUACGCGUUGUAAACUGCUUUUAACCGGGAAGAAACCCCAGGACGUGUCCUGGGUUGACGGUACCGGAGGAAUAAGCACCGGCUAACUUCGUGCCAGCAGCCGCGGUAAUACGAAGGGUGCAAGCGUUAUCCGGAUUCAUUGGGUUUAAAGGGUGCGUAGGCGGAGCGUUACGUCAGUGGUGAAAUCCGGCAGCUUAACUGUAGACUUGCGAUAGAUACUGGCGCUCUUGAGUGCGCUUGAAGUGGGCGGAAUGUGCCGUGUAGCGGUGAAAUGCUUAGAUAUGGCACAGAACACCAAUUGCGAAGGCAGCUCACUAAGGCGAUACUGACGCUGAGGCACGAAAGCGUGGGGAUCGAACAGGAUUAGAAACCCCAGUAGUCC
rnacentral:rRNA from 1 species